UAUAACGAGUAGUAGAUGGUA
rnacentral:piRNA from 1 species